rnacentral:lncRNA from 1 species
AGGUUCCUUUCAGUGUCCUAGAAGUUGAUUUUGGCUCCGUGCUGAAGGAACCCAUCAGACACGUGGUACCGCUGGCCUAAGACAGGGAGUGUGGAAUAUCCCGUCCUACCGGGUGGCUGCGAUGGGAAAACCUGAAAGAUGAGACAUGCGCCU